GGGAAAGAAAAACCAUAGUUUGAGAGUAAUAAUUUGUUUAGGAGAAGGACACCAAUGUUGGAUGAGUACCAGAAGAUGAUAAGUGAAGCAAUGAAAAGGGUUUGUUUUUCUGAUUGUGCUGAUGACAUUUUUGGGUUUGUGGGUAAGUGAAUUCUUGAAUUUGUGAAGGAAUUUCAAGAAAAUUUCAAUGAGUAAAUCUUGUUGAUGGGAAUGUGUGUUUUGUUUUUCCUCAGAUUGAGGAAAUCUUUC
rnacentral:misc_RNA from 1 species